rnacentral:rRNA from 1 species
AUUGAACGCUGGCGGCAGGCUUAACACAUGCAAGUCGAGCGGGGUGAUGGUGCUUGCACUAUCACUUAGCGGCGGACGGGUGAGUAAUGCUUAGGAAUCUGCCUAUUAGUGGGGGACAACAUCUCGAAAGGGAUGCUAAUACCGCAUACGUCCUACGGGAGAAAGCAGGGGAUCACUUGUGACCUUGCGCUAAUAGAUGAGCCUAAGUCGGAUUAGCUAGUUGGUGGGGUAAAGGCCUACCAAGGCGACGAUCUGUAGCGGGUCUGAGAGGCUGAUCCGCCCCACUGGGACUGAGACACGGCCCAGACUCCUACGCGAGGCAGCAGUGGGGAAUAUUGGCCAAUGGGGGGAACCCUGAUCCAGCCAUGCCGCGUGUGUGAAGAAGGCCUUAUGGUUGUAAAGCACUUUAAGCGAGGAGGAGGCUCUUUUGGUUAAUACCCAAGAUGAGUGGACGUUACUCGCAGAAUAAGCACCGGCUAACUCUGUGCCAGCAGCCGCAGUAA